rnacentral:rRNA from 1 species
CCUACGGGCGGCAGCAGUAAGGAAUAUUGGUCAAUGGACGCAAGUCUGAACCAGCCAUGCCGCGUGGAGGAUGAAGGUCCUCUGGAUUGUAAACUUCUUUUAUUUGGGAAGAAACUCCCGAUUUCCAUCGGGAUUGACGGUACCAGAUGAAUAAGCACCGGCUAACUCCGUGCCAGCAGCCGCGGUAAUACGGAGGGUGCAAGCGUUAUCCGGAUUCAGGGGGUUUAAAGGGGCAGGAAAUGCAGUGGUAAAGUCGCCGGGCUUAAGCCGGAAACUGCCAUUGAUACUAUUUGUCUUGAAUACUCUGGAGGUGAGCGGAAUAUGUCAUGUAGCGGUGAAAUGCUUAGAUAUGACAUAGAACACCCAUUGCGAAGGCAGCUCACUACGGAAAUAUUGACGCUGAGGCACGAAAGCGUGGGGAUCAAACAGGAUUAGAUACCCUUGUAGUC